AAAAAGUUAGUGCAAGGGCUGCCUUAAAAUUUUGAGUUCACUGGAAUUCACAUAUGUGUAAACUUCGGACGUGAGAGAUUGCAGCCCUGCAAGAACUAGGCUACUGCAAAGAGGCGAAGCAACAUAGAGAGAGUAAGGAAGAUGAAGAUUAUGAAAGAGGAGAGAGAGCCAGAGGUGGAAAGAGAGCCAGAGGUGGUGGUUGGAGAGGUGGAAAGUGAGGCAUCUGAAAGGCAAUCUGAGAGUGAGGAUGAAGACAUUCAGGAUCAGAUUGAGGGACAGAAUGAGGGACAACCCAACAAGUCAUUGGGACAACCAGAUUCACCAUGCAUAUCAAGUACAGCACCAUCAGGUUUGUGAUGUUGAACAAAUGUAUGUGUGUGAGCAGUGUCGACCUACAAUUCAUAUAGCCUACCCUGAAAGUGUGAAGUCUGAAUAAUAAUUAAUAAAUCUCAUCAUCUCUAGCCGCUUUAUCCUUCUACAGGGUCGCAGGCAAGCUGGAGCCUAUCCCAGCUGACUACGGGCGAAAGGCGGGGUUCACCCUGGACAAGUCGCCAGGUCA